GAUGAACGCUAGCUACAGGCUUAACACAUGCAAGUCGAGGGACCGGCGCACGGGUGAGUAACACGUAUCCAACCUGCCCUUUACUCGGUGAUAGCCUUUCGAAAGAAAGAUUAAUACCCGAUGUAAAGGAUGGGGAUGCGUUCAAUUAGGUUGUUGGUGAGUUAACGGCUCACCAACCCUUCGAUGGAUAGGGGUUCUGAGAGGAAGGUCCACCACAUUGGAGUUGAGACACGGUCCAAACUCCGACGGGAGGCAGCAGUGAGGAAUAGUGGUCAAUGGGCGUUAGGCUGAACCAGCCAAGUAGCGUGAAGGAUGAAGGCUUAUGGGUCGUAAACUUCUUUUAUAUAAAAAUAUGUAUUAUAUGAAUAAGGACCGGCUAACUCCGUGGCAGCCGCCGCGGUAAUUC
rnacentral:rRNA from 1 species